AGAGUGAACGCUGGCGGUAGGCCUAACACAUGCAAGUCGAACGGCAGCACAGGAGAGCUUGCUCUCUGGGUGGCGAGUGGCGGACGGGUGAGGAAUACAUCGGAAUCUACCUUUUCGUGGGGGAUAACGUAGGGAAACUUACGCUAAUACCGCAUAAGACCUUCGGGUAGAAAGCCGGGGACCUUCGGGCCUGGCCGCGGAUAGAUGAGCCGAUGUCGGAUUAGCUUGUUGGCGGGUAAAAGCCC
rnacentral:rRNA from 1 species